GACAGUGUAUUAUAGUGGAUUGAGUGUUGGACUAGGACUCAAGGAGACCAGGGUUCAAAUCCCUGCUCAGCCA